CCCGUUGGCGGAGGCUGGACUUGUGGGGCUCCUAGAGCGGGCAUUCCGGGUCCCAGCCACGAGAUUUCUGAUCAGGAUUGUUAUAAUGAGUCUACGGAAGCAAACUCCCAGCGACUUCUUAAAGCAAAUCAUUGGACGACCAGUGGUGGUAAAACUAAAUUCUGGAGUGGAUUAUCGAGGGGUCCUGGCUUGUCUGGAUAGCUACAGGAAUAUAGCCUUGGAGCAGACGGAAGAAAAUGAAAAUGGACAGCUGAAGAAUAAGUAUGGGGAUGCAUUUAUCCGAGGAAACAACGUGUUAUACAUUAGCACACAGAAGAGAAGGAUGUGAAGGCAUCAAGCGUACAGCA